GAUGAACGCUGGCGGCGUGCUUAACACAUGCAAGUCGAACGGGAUCCCAGGAGCUUGCUCCUGGGUGAGAGUGGCGAACGGGUGAGUAAUGCGUGACCGACCUGCCCCAUACACCGGAAUAGCUCCUGGAAACGGGUGGUAAUGCCGGAUGCUCCAGUUGAUCGCAUGGUCUUCUGGGAAAGCUUUCGCGGUAUGGGAUGGGGUCGCGUCCUAUCAGCUUGACGGCGGGGUAACGGCCCACCGUGGCUU
rnacentral:rRNA from 1 species